AGUUUGAUCCUGGCUCAGAAUGAACGCUGGCGGUAGGCUUAACACAUGCAAGUCGGACGGAAACGAUAGAGAGCUUGCUUUCUAGGCGUCGAGUGGCGGACGGGUGAGUAACGCGUGGGAAUCUACCCUAUAGUUGGGGACAACAUAUGGAAACGUAUGCUAAUACCGAAUAUGAUCUACGGAUUAAAGGAGCCCUCUUCUUGAAAGGUUUUGCUAUAGGAUGAGCCCGCGUUAGAUUAGCUAGUUGGUAAGGUAAAGGCUUACCAAGGCCACGAUCUAUAGCUGGUUUGAGAGGAUGAUCAGCCACACUGGGACUGAGACACGGCCCAUACUCCUACGGGAGGCAGCAGCGGGGAAUAUUGCACAAUGGACGAAAGUCUGAUGCAGCCAUACCGCGUGUGUGAAGAAGGCCCGAGGGUUGUAAAGCACUUUCAGUUGGGAGGAAGGUAGUGUAGCUAAUACCUACAUUGCUUGACGUUACCCUUCAGAAGAAGCACCGGCUANCUCUGUGCCAGCCAGCCGCGG
rnacentral:rRNA from 1 species